GCUGGCAAAUGAUGUAAAAUCAAAAAAUCACUUAUACUACACACUGAAUUAACUGCAGACAUAAUCUCCGCUUAUUAUCUGAUGCCUUC